rnacentral:rRNA from 1 species
CCUACGGGGGGCUGCAGUGGGGAAUAUUGGACAAUGGGCGAAAGCCUGAUCCAGCCAUGCCGCGUGUGUGAAGAAGGCCUUCGGGUUGUAAAGCACUUUCAGUGGGGAAGAAAGCCUUGGGGCUAAUACCCUCGAGGAAGGACAUCACCCACAGAAGAAGCACCGGCUAACUCCGUGCCGGCAGCCGCGGUAAUACGGAGGGUGCGAGCGUUAAUCGGAAUUACUGGGCGUAAAGCGCGCGUAGGCGGUCUGAUAAGCCGGUUGUGAAAGCCCCGGGCUCAACCUGGGAACGGCAUCCGGAACUGUCAGGCUAGAGUGCAGGAGAGGAAGGUAGAAUUCCCGGUGUAGCGGUGAAAUGCGUAGAGAUCGGGAGGAAUACCAGUGGCGAAGGCGGCCUUCUGGACUGACACUGACGCUGAGGUGCGAAAGCGUGGGUAGCAAACAGGAUUAGAUACCCGAGUAGUC